CUCGUCACUCGGUCGCGCGCCCUCGGCCCACGCGCUCCUCUCAGAUCCUGAGCCCUUGGUCCCGGGACGCUAUCGCCUCAUCUUUCCCUCCUUGAGGUCCAGCCAGGCCCAAUGAUGACAGCCUGGUCCUGCGGGGCUACCUGCCUGGGCGGGCCGGCGCAGAUGCCGAGCGGGCUUUGCAACAGGAAGCACGGGUCAGCCUUGGAAAGAAGGCGGACACCCUUAGGUGGGUCUGAGCAAAAGAGAGACCCAGGCUCUGCAAUCUUGUCUUUCAACGCGAUCUCGUCAAAGGUCAACACAGUGGCACCCUACCCCUGCUUCCAGCUCCUCUCCAAGCCUCGUGUGACAUUGGGGUUGGGGUACUUCGUUACCACCACGGCUAGAUAGACCUUCUAUCUUUCAGGACCUGCUCCUCGGCCCUCCAGUUCAGCCCUAAUAGGGUGAGGUGGGAACUGAAGAACACUGAGCCCUGAGUAGUGAGCACACUAGAAAGAGUCACACCUCCUGCUGGAUUUCAGUCCCAAAGCUGCCCUGACUCUCUACCCAAACUAUAUUAACUGCCUUGGGGGUGAGAGAAGGCCCCGUAGAGCUGGGGUGCCAGCAGAGGCUUUGCAGGUAGAGGCAGUGAGAGGGGAGCCUGAUGGGGGGGGGGGCAGACGGUUGCCUAGCAACCCCACAGCUGUCUGUUGACCUAGAAGAAGCUGCGCUGUCUUGACACAGCUGGUGUUUACAUGUAACCGAGGCUCUGGCUUAGUGCUUGCUUGGAGCAAAGCUGAGGCAGGGCCCUCGUGGCAGCCUGGUCCCAACCCUGCCUGUCGUGGAUGCCGCGUCUGCCUGCCCUGUUUACACCUCUCCCAUCUCAAGGCCACAGGAGAAAGAGAAGUAGAAAGCAGACCUGAGGCUUUGGGAAGGGCAAAGGCACACGCUCAAACACAACCCUAAGGCCUUCAUCACAGAAUAGGGAGAGACUUAAGAAAAGCAAACCGCAGGCUUGAAGCGCGGCUCAGCAAUGAAGAGCUCUUGAUGCUCUUCCAGUGGACACCAGAGGUACGGUUCCCAGCACCACCCGCGUGGCAGCUCACAAAUGCCUGUAAUUUCAGCACCAGAUUUAAUGCCCUAUUCUGGCCUUGAUGGGCAUGUCUACAUAUGACAGAGAGAGAAAUGCAUGUGUAGAUGCACGUGGUAUAGGUAUGCACAUGGUGCACAUACGCACAAGCAGGCAACACACACAAUUUCAAAAUAUAUAGCUUUAGGAAAGAAAAACAGAAGGCUACCACAUGCCAGUGCCACAGAGAACAGCCACAUACACUACACGGGGACACCUGGUCACAAAUCAAGUGCUAGAGGCACAUGCUAAGAGGUGAUACACGCCUGUAAGUCCUGGCAUUUAGGAGGCUGACGCUGUAGGAUGAGAUUUCCACGGUCAGCCUCUGUCUUACGGAGGAUUCAAGGCUAGCCUGGACUACAUGAGACCCUGUCACAAAACAAAAUGCAAAAAAGUGACAUCAGAAUCCAACAUAUCACAGAGAUGCCUAAAGGCACACACACACACACACACACACACACACACUACAAGAACACAGUCAUUACAUGUUUGACACAUGGACACAGAUAUACCUGCAGAUAGAUUGACACCAAAGACAGGCAUGGACCAUCCAACAGACACACUCAAAACAAAUCAGCAACUCCCACGCCCACCCAGCUUAUAUAGUGUUCGCAGUGCUGUGUGACAAAAGACAAAAGCCCACGUACAUAGUCAGCCACAUGUGCUCAGUUGCACACAAGGACACAUUCAACCCUUCAAUUGAGUGCCCACAGUGCCCAAGGCAGAUAGUGGCACAGGAAGACACACCCAGGAGCCCCAAAGGACCACAGGCCCUGACAUGUCCCACCUGAACCUACACAUGUACUCAAGGCACAAACAUGUGGCAGCCCGGGGUGUGGUGAGGACAGAAUUGAGGCUUCUCCCCACCCACAAGCUGUCCAUAGUGACACAUCUGCCUUGAAGUUGGAAAGUCCUAGUCCCAGGAACAGGGCUGAAGGAAGUCACAUGCUGCCAGCGCAUCCGUAAUCCUCAGCCCUAGGGAACAGGCAGUACCCAGACAGUGCCAUCAGUUCCCUCAGGGAUCCCCUAUCUGGAUGAGCAUAGGACCCCUAACCUCUGAAGUCUCUGGACUGACAAAGGAGGGAAGGUCCUGCCCCAGAAACCUGGAGUACAAUGGAUGGAAGCACAUCUCCUUCAAGGACAGCUUCAGACACAAACAUAUAGAGACACAUAUGAGCAAGUGACAGUUUUGGGGCGGGACACGGCCUGGAGGGCUUCCUGAAAAAGGCGAACCUGGAGUCUGGCUUUGAAGCCUAGAAAAACUAGAAGCAGGAAGGAUGAACAUAUUGGAAAGGGCCUGCUUUCCUUCCCUGUCCCAACCCCACAUCCAGCAGUUCCUCCUCCCACAGGGCCCAAGGGGCCGGCUGGGGCCCCACAGUCCCAUCAGCCCCAGCAGUGAGCAGAAGGAGGAGAGAGGAUAUUUUUAGCUUCUCUGCCGCUGACAUUUCGCAGCAGGCGACCUGGGGUGAAGCUGAGUGAGUGCUGAAGGCUGGGAGAAGCCGGCAGCGCCUUCCCGCCCCCACACACAUGCACACAGAGUUGUGCACACGCAGCCAUGUCCCCAACACUAGCAAUGUCACUUCAGUCAUGACACAGCUUCAGGUAUGCAGUUCCACACUGAGACACACACAGGCAUCCAAAAGCACUGAUUUGGUUCACAUGUCACGCGUGACAGAAACCUCACCUAUCUGGACACGCACAAUAAAAAAUGUCCAUUCGUUGAGCAGGGCAUUGGUGGCACAUGCCUUUAAUCCCAGCACUUGGGAGGCAGAGGCAGGCAGAUUUCUGAGUUCAAGGCCAUCCUGGGCUAGGAGUUUACAACCAGCCUGCGGGACCCCAGAAUCCACAUAGUGAAGAGAGAGCACUGAUUCCCAACGUGUGACCUCUGACCUCCCCUGUUCCUGAUGUCUGAGAGCACACGUGCUAAAAGAAUGUAAUUAUCCUUUUAUUUCUUUGUUUGUUUCAGAGACUGGGUCUCUCUCUAUGUGGCCCUGGCUGUCCUUAAACUCACAGAGAUCCUCCUGCCUCUGCUUCUCACAGUGCUAAGACUAAAGGCGUGGUUCUGACCUUGCCUACAUUAA
rnacentral:lncRNA from 1 species